AAUGAACGUUGGCGGCGUGGAUUAGGCAUGCAAGUCGAACGAUAUCUGUAGCAAUACAGUGAAAGUGGCGAAAGGGAGAGUAAUACGUAGGUACCUGCCCUCGGGUCUGGGAUAGCUGCGGGAAACUGCAAUUAAUACCGGAUGACGUCUCUGGACCAAAGGUGUGAUUCCGCCAGAGGAUGGGCCUGCGUCCUAUCAGCUAGUUGGUGUGGUAAUGGCGCACCAAGGCUAAGACGGGUAC
rnacentral:rRNA from 1 species